rnacentral:rRNA from 1 species
UACGUAGGGUCCGAGCGUUGUCCGGAGUUACUGGGCGUAAAGCGCGCGCAGGCGGCGGUGCUGGCCCGGCGUGAAAGCCCCCGGCUCAACCGGGGAGAGUCGUCGGGGACCGCACCGCUUGAGGGCGGUAGGGGCUGGUGGAAUUCCUGGUGUAGCGGUGAAAUGCGUAGAGAUCGAGCAGGAACACCCAGGGGGAACGAGU